rnacentral:rRNA from 1 species
GGGGUGCAGCAGGCGCGAAACCUCCUGCAAUAGGCGAAAGCCUGACAGGGUUACUCUGAGUUGAUUUCCGUUAAGGAGAUCUUUUGGCACCUCUAAAAAUGGUGCAGAAUAAGGGGUGGGCAAGUCUGGUGUCAGCCGCCGCGGUAAUACCAGCACCCCGAGUGGUCGGGACGUUUAUUGGGCCUAAAGCAUCCGUAGCCGGUUCUACAAGUCUUCCGUUAAAUCCACCUGCUUAAACAGAUGGGCUGCGGAAGAUACUAUAGAGCUAGGAGGGCGGGGAGAGGGCAAGCGGUACUCGAUGGGGUAGGGGUAAAA